UACUAGGAUGGGUGACCUCCC
rnacentral:sRNA from 1 species